UUUGUGAAGUCUUCUUCCUGGAACAUUCCGUGAUACCUUCCCACCAACCAACCAAUCUACGCUGCCUUUUCUCUCCCCACAGAAGUCCAACUUGCUCCACCGUGAAGGAAUUAGAGGAAGAUCAAUUGACCUCACCUGAGUUGAAUAUCUACCAAGAUUAAGCCGGAUGGGAGAAGGUAAUUGAAAGCCGACUACAGGAAAAGAAGAGAAGCAGAAAAGAAAUAUAUUUAGGAAAUACGGACAAAGAUUGUCUUGGAUUCCAUGAAGAUCAGCUGUUAGGAGAUAUGUGACUUAAUAAUUUUCAUUCUGGUCAGGUGGCCGUAGCUGGCACACAAGUAGAAACAGAUGUUGUGAAGGGUAAGGAGGUAUGUGGUGCCAGUGUCUCGGUUCUGGGAAAAGGAAGCACUUCACAGAGAGUAGGUGCCACCCAUAGGGGCUGUCGUCUGCCAAGUGAAACCAGUUUGGCUGAGAGAGCUAAAAAUAAUUUCCAAGGGUAUAAGGGCUGUUUCCAUCACUUCCUCUUCCUCAAGAGUCCAGAAACCCCUCCAGGUCCUUGGACUGCAGCUCCAUAGAUCAGACCCCAGGCCAGUCGGUGGCAUGCUUCCUUCUGCCCGUGUGAAGGACACAGCCUGCGACCCAGUCCACCCCACGAUGUCUUCUCAAUUAGGGCAGGCCGGAAAACAACUGUGAUCAGUAUUUCAGCUCUGUGGACAAUUUCCCUCGUGUGGCCCAAUGAUGGAGGCCAUUCAACCAUUCAGCAGGCCCACCAGCCCUGCGACAAUCAUACUCCAGGCGUGCUCCCUGGCCUGCCCCUUUAGGACUUCUAGGCAUAUAUGUAUAAAAAGUGUUAUGUGAUUCUUAAACAAAAUUUAAGUCAUCCAUAUUUUUCUUCCUGAGGAAUAAUCACUAUUAAAUUCUGAUGUGUGUGGUUUUAGUCUGUUGGCUGUAUACAAGCACAUGCAUACAGACAUUUUUAAACUUCAUGAAAUGUAAGCCCAUAAAGAAUUGUAAGGAUUGUUGCAGCCUAGGGUCCUCAGGACCCUGAAGAAUUCUUGUGACUGGAUAUAAGAGCUAGGGAUUGCUCCCAUUCAUUGGAAUUUAGCUUUUGACUUGAGGAGCUAGGAAGGGUGAAAGACGGCAUCAUUUACGACAUUGCAUUCAGCAGUGUUUUUAGAUCAGAGAAACCAAUUUGAAUGAUUCAUCUUUGUUGAAACUCAGUUUUGGUGUCUGCCUCCCUCCCAACCUCCCCAAAGCAGUUCUUUCAUUCAGAAUAGCAUUUAACAUAAAUCAUAACUCCGGAAAAAAUGAGAGAGUUGCUUCAGUAAACAUAAAAAGUUUAUCUUCUGUUUGAACCUAAUACCCAGAAAGUUGUAAUUCUUUCUAUCAAAAUGAAUUUUUACUAGACAGUUGACUUCAGAUCCUUGCUUUCUUGGUAUUUUCUCAGCUGUAGAUAGGAACAUUACAUGUGGUAAAUAUUGAAUUGUAAUUUAAAGUAUCCAAGGGUGUUUUAAGACUUUUUAAUGUUGUGGAUGUUCUUACUUUUGGAAGAUUCAUGCUGAAUCAUGGCAAACA
ensembl:lncRNA